AUCAACAGUGCUGAGGUCAUGAUUUCACUUAACUCUCAUGAGAUUUCGUAGUAAACUUCCUUAAACUGAAUAGGGAAAUAACAUGAAGCUCAACCCCUUAGCUGUCCCUUUACAAUGGGAUAUGGCUACUGAGGAACUUUUGAGGUAAAAUAUCUUUCUUUUUUACUUAGAGAUGUUCAGGUGAUAUUUUCUAGUCAGCUGUUUACAGCUAUGCUGCAUCACUUUCAAGUGUUUCAACAUUUUGGUAUCAUGGCCCUUUAAUGAUGUAACAAGUAUUUUUUUAGUUGUAUAAGGAUAAUUUGACAUAUGUCAGUUUUUGUUUUAUUUGCUUUUUUGCUUCUUUUUUCUUCCCUUCUAAUGUUGUAUGAUCAAAUUGGAAAUAGCAGAAUAAUUUGAUAUAUGUCUGUUCCUGUUAUAACUUAGAAGACUCCAUUGUAAUACUGAAGGCUAUGAUAUGAGCAUAGAUUAAUUAUAUAAAGAAGAAUUAUGUUAAAAGGAACUUUAUUCAAUGAUGUAACAUUUCAAUUCUUAGGUGUAUAAGGAUAAUUUGACAUAUAUCUGUUCUUAAUUUACUUGCUCCUUUUCUUUUCAAUGUUGUAUGUACAAUUAAAUUAGCAGAUCACUGCUAUUUGAAAAUAAAUAAAAAGAAAAAAAAACAUCACUGUCUAACUGUGAAAAACUGUCAAAAUGCAAUGAGAUAAGAGGCAUUUCAACAGCUUAGAAUCAGCUAUGAGCGUACCUAGGUUUAGCUUUCAACAAAGAAUACCAAAAGAACAAAGCAAAUUUGAUGAAAAAAGUAUAUUGGAAAGUUGUUAAAAAAUGGCAUGCACCAUCUGAAUCAUGAAAGUCUGAUUUUGACUUGACUGUCCCUUUAACCAGUAGUGUGUAACUGUAGAUAUGUAGCAGGGUUAGCCAUGAUAAGUCUGCAAUGCUCACAUUAGGUUCUGUCAGUUAGAAAAUCCAUGAUUUCCAGAACUGUAUUAUCAUUUGAAAUGGGGCAAAAUAAAUGAUGAAAGUAUACUGCAAAAUAUAGUGCAAACAUUUAAAUUAAAAACUGAAGAUGUUUACUCUCCCUUUAAUAAUAUGCCUGUUGAAUGCUAAGCAAAAAAAAGUGCACAGGGUGAUAGUUGUUUUAAUCUUCUAUACUGCUGAUUUAAACUUAUGUUAGCUGAACACAAUUACUUCCUAUAUUACGUACAAUAUCUACUAUUAAUUCAGAUAACCAAACAAAAGCAGCAGAGAAAUAUAGACUGAUUUUAAAAAUAUUUAUUUAAUUCCAAUAACAUCUGCAUAAAAAAUGAAUAAAUAGAUGCAAAUGGUUAUCAUAAAUAAUUUAGAAAUCCAGAUAAUGCAAUAUACAUGGCUACAUAAAUAUCUGCAUUUUACAAAUGCUAGUUUUGUUGUUCAGUUUACCACUGUUAUUUAGUGAACCAAUACACAAUGAAAAGGAUCGGCAAUGCACCUUUCACUGGAGAUUUUCUUUAGAUCCUUUCUGGUCUGACGCAAGUGCAGCCAACAGUUACUAACAUCUUCUCUAAUUUAAAAAUGUUGUUGCACCCUUUUAGCUCCCGACGGAGAACCAGCAUCUCCUGAUUGAUUUCAACAGAAUUCAUACUGAGGUCCAAAUUACCAUUGGAGUCCACACAAGCGUUAUGGUUGCAACUGGCUUGAGCGAUGACUGGAGGAAAUCUGUUGUGAUCCUUAAGCAAGCUGAUUGCCCAGUGAUAUUCAGGCUGACCUUAGCUGCUGUAGGAAACUUUAUAUCCUUCAGUGGACAUCCUUUGAGAUGAUGAAGGGCCACUCCAUGAACAGAGACCAUCAUGCGGGUUCCUAGAACAAGUAUCACUAGGGUGGUGUGAAACUAGAAGAAGGAGAAAUACGGAUAUAUUAGUUCUUUCUAGCUCACUGGCUUCCUUCUUUUUCUCACUGAAACUUCAAAAAGCAGUAAAAAAAUAUAUUUAUUUCCA